rnacentral:lncRNA from 1 species
ACGGAACUCAUAGCAAGCAUGAUCAUAUCCUUAACUCAAAGGAUCUAUAAGUUCAAUCUUGACUUUACACUAGCUCUAGUGUUCAUUAUAUCACUUCAUGUUGCAAACUCAUGCAAUCACAUUCUUUACAUUGUCCUUUACUUUUGCUAACUCUAGCAAUUAUAUUCUUUACAUUCUUUACUUUUGGCUACCUCUAGCAUUUUCACGUUCUUUACUUCCCACAUUGCGUUAACUUUAAGCAUUAUCAUUUUCAGCAUUCUUUACAUUACAUUGGUUCUUUACCUCACACUAUCUCUAGUGUCUCUUUACUUUACAUUUUCAAAUGCCACUCGAUCUAUGUCAUUGUGCCACUCUGUUCUUUUGCUCACUUUGGGUACUCACAUUUUCUCUCAUGCACACAUCUAGGGUUUCGACAUUAUUAGGUUCUCAACCAUCUCAUUAUGCAAGUUGUGCUCACAAUCAUGCAAUCAUCACAUUUCAUCAUUACUUUACCCUAA